GGUCCCAAGGGUAUGGCUGUUCGCCAUUUAAAGCGGUACGUGAGUUGGGUUCAGAACGUCGUGAGACAGUUCGGUCCCUAUCUGCCGUGGGUGUAGGAAUAUUGAAAGGAUCUGUCCCUAGUACGAGAGGACCGGGAUGGACGGAUCUCUGGUGGACCUGUUGUGGCGCCAGCCGCAUAGCAGGGUAGCUAUAUCCGGACGGGAUAACCGCUGAAGGCAUCUAAGCGGGAAACCCACCUUAAAACGAGUAUUCCCUGAGAACCGUGGAAGACGACCACGUUGAUAGGCCGGGUGUGGAAGAGCGGCAACGCUUGAAGCUUACCGGUACUAAUAGUUCGAUCGGCUUGAUCGUUCUCAUU
rnacentral:rRNA from 1 species